UACAUUUGCCCUUUUCCAGUCUGCUGGAAUCUCUCCCAUCUUCCAUGACUUUUCAACUAUAAUAACCAAAGUAAAACUAGCCCAUUGGGUCUGUGAGCAGACAUCAGCGAUAAAGGGGUGCAGGAUCCAGAAAAGAGAAGCCAGUAGUGAACACUGACCGUGGACAACAGAUGAAACAGACAGACGAACUAUUGCAAGAAGGUGUGGAUACAACAGUACAUUGAGAGCCGAGAAGGAAGGACUGUGCUGGAGUACUAAUUCUGAACAUGGCACUAGGUCUUUCAUGAACCCAAGGAGCUGAUAUAUUUCCAGAAACCCACCCCAUGGUACAUGCUCAGAUGGGAAGGGCUUGAACCACCCAACUAGAAGCAGAACACAGACAGAUGUUUUCCUCAGGUGCUACCCCAGACGAUACUGCCAGGACCGCAAUUCAUUGUGCAGCUUGUGCUGACGGCGGCCUCACCGUACCCUGCACCACUUGCUGUGUCCCCUCCUGGAUUGCAGCAAACCCUGCAACAGGAUGCCCUUCGUGGUGACAAGCACUCCCAUCAACUGCCCAGAGUGUUAACCCUUUUCCUUGUACUUCUUCCCAGGAUGUUGCUAAGAAGAAUGGAGAUAGUAAGUCUAAAUCAGGAUCUGGCAAUGGACAUUCGUGCUCAUCUCCUGCGGUAGUCGGAGCAUAGGGAAGGAUUCUCGUAUGGGGGGGAUCUUCUCAGUACGAAUAUCCCGAUUGACCAGACUUAGAGUCCAUCCCGCCAGCCGGGGAGAGGAUACCCUUCCCUCAUUAAUUCUUCCAGAGAUGACAUAUUUUACUGGAGUAUGGCAUGUCCUCACCACAAUGAGAGCUGUGCCACUUAAAUAUUCCCAAUGUGUUAGGGACCAU